rnacentral:rRNA from 1 species
CCAGACAACUAGGAUGUUGGCUUAGAAGCAGCCAUCAUUUAAAGAGUGCGUAAUAGCUCACUAGUCGAGUGACACUGCGCCGAAAAUGUACCGGGGCUAAACAUGUUACCGAAGCUGUGGAUUGUCCUUUGGACAAUGGUAGGAGAGCGUUCUAAGGGCGUUGAAGCAUGAUCGUAAGGACAUGUGGAGCGCUUAGAAGUGAGAAUGCCGGUGUGAGUAGCGAAAGACGGGUGAGAAUCCCGUCCACCGAUUGACUAAGGUUUCCAGAGGAAGGCUCGUCCGCUCUGGGUUAGUCGGGUCCUAAGCUGAGGCCGACAGGCGUAGGCGAUGGAUAACAGGUUGAUAUUCCUGUACCACCUAUAAUCGUUUUAAUCGAUGGGGGGACGCAGUAGGAUAGGCGAAGCGUGCGAUUGGAUUGCACGUCUAAGCAGUAAGGCUGGGUAUUAGGCAAAUCCGGUACUCGUUAAGGCUGAGCUGUGAUGGGGAGAAGACAUUGUGUCUUCGAGUCGUUGAUUUCACACUGCCGAGAAAAGCCUCUAGAUAGAAAAUAGGUGCCCGUACCGCAAACCGACACAGGUAGUCAAGAUGAGAAUUCUAAGGUGAGCGAGCGAACUCUCGUUAAGGAACUCGGCAAAAUGACCCCGUAACUUCGGGAGAAGGGGUGCUCUUUAGGGUUAACGCCCAGAAGAGCCGCAGUGAAUAGGCCCAAGCGACUGUUUAUCAAAAACACAGGUCUCUGCUAAACCGUAAGGUGAUGUAUAGGGGCUGACGCCUGCCCGGUGCUGGAAGGUUAAGAGGAGUGGUUAGCUUCUGCGAAGCUACGAAUCGAAGCCCCAGUAAACGGCGGCCGUAACUAUAACGGUCCUAAGGUAGCGAAAUUCCUUGUCGGGUAAGUUCCGACCCGCACGAAAGGCGUAACGAUUUGGGCACUGUCUCAACGAGAGACUCGGUGAAAUCAUAGUACCUGUGAAGAUGCAGGUUACCCGCGACAGGACGGAAAGACCCCGUGGAGCUUUACUGUAGCCUGAUAUUGAAAUUCGGCACAGCUUGUACAGGAUAGGUAGGAGCCUUUGAAACGUGAGCGCUAGCUUACGUGGAGGCGCUGGUGGGAUACUACCCUAGCUGUGUUGGCUUUCUAACCCGCACCACUUAUCGUGGUGGGAGACAGUGUCAGGCGGGCAGUUUGACUGGGGCGGUCGCCUCCUAAAAGGUAACGGAGGCGCUCAAAGGUUCCCUCAGAAUGGUUGGAAAUCAUUCAUAGAGUGUAAAGGCAUAAGGGAGCUUGACUGCGAGACCUACAAGUCGAGCAGGGUCGAAAGACGGACUUAGUGAUCCGGUGGUUCCGCAUGGAAGGGCCAUCGCUCAACGGAUAAAAGCUACCCCGGGGAUAACAGGCUUAUCUCCCCCAAGAGUUCACAUCGACGGGGAGGUUUGGCACCUCGAUGUCGGCUCAUCGCAUCCUGGGGCUGUAGUCGGUCCCAAGGGUUGGGCUGUUCGCCCAUUAAAGCGGUACGCGAGCUGGGUUCAGAACGUCGUGAGACAGUUCGGUCCCUAUCCGUCGUGGGCGUAGGAAAUUUGAGAGGAGCUGUCCUUAGUACGAGAGGACCGGGAUGGACAUACCUCUGGUGUACCAGUUGUCGUGCCAACGGCAUAGCUGGGUAGCUAUGUGUGGACGGGAUAAGUGCUGAAAGCAUCUAAGCAUGAAGCCCCCCUCAAGAUGAGAUUUCCCAACUUCGGUUAUAAGAUCCCUCAAAGAUGAUGAGGUUAAUAGGUUCGAGGUGGAAGCAUGGUGACAUGUGGAGCUGACGAAUACUAAUCGAUCGAAGACUUAAUCAA